UACGGAGGGUGCAAGCGUUAUCCGGAUUCACUGGGUUUAAAGGGUGCGUAGGUGGGCAGGUAAGUCAGUGGUGAAAUCUCUGAGCUUAACUCAGAAACUGCCGUUGAUACUAUCUGUCUUGAAUAUAGUGGAGGUGAGCGGAAUAUGUCAUGUAGCGGUGAAAUGCUUAGAUAUGACAUAGAACACCCAUUGCGAAGGCAGCUCGCUACACUAUCAUUGACACUGAGGCACGAAAGCGUGGGGAGCAAACAGG
rnacentral:rRNA from 1 species